AGCAGAUGAGAAUCCUAGUCAUUGGCCAAGCAGCUUUGAACUUAUAACAAGUUUCUGGUAUAAUGUGAUUCAGAAAAGAAUGAAGACAAUGGAGACCUGAGGAAAUACAUUGUAUAUUUCAGUGACAUAGACAGUUUCAUAGAGCUAGUCUCCCAUUCUGAUCUGAGCAAGAGUAGGUCAUACUGAGAGCAUGGCACAGGACCAAGAUCUGCUCAGAUACAUAGCAUUUUAGAAAGUACAACCCCUGAGCAAGCCAACCUGUUCUCUCUGGGUCUUUGCCCUCUGAAGUUUUCACUCACGUGGUCCAUUGCUGCCCAUCACAACAUGUGCCUUACUAUAUUGUACUACACUUUUGCUGAUCAAGAUUUCAUAUUAAGGACUAAGGCAGUCUGGCCUGGCACAGAAGCAUCAAGCUGUAAGAUCAAGGUGCAUGGUCCAGUCAGUUCUAACUCUAAGGAGAAAUGAGCACUGAAUGCAGCAAAUAUUCAAGUCCACAAUGCAGAAUUAAAUGCAUCGAGGACUGCCAAUCUUCUUUCAGAAUGAAACAGAGUACCACUCCCUGGAAGCAAUGCAAAACCACCUCAUCUUCCUGGACAGAACUGUUCACUUCAUUCCUUAUUUGCCCCAUACUUGGUCAUUGGAAAAAUAACCUUUCUAGGACAUUUCUCUGAAAAAAAAAAGAAGUGUGAUUUGAUCUUUCCUUCAUGACCUGGGCCAUGCCAUCCCAAUAUGAGAAGAAGCAAUAAAUUGAAGUCAGAUACUUAUUGGAAUGAAACUCCCAUUUUAAGAAGAAAUUCAGAUCUAUUUAGCUUGACCUUGGAACUUGAAUUAAAUCUUUAGACACUCAACUUUCUCCAGGGAAGUGUAAGGUUUAGAUGAGUGUAUUAAAGCUAGUGUGGUUCUGAUCUAUGUACCAAGUUAGUUAAUUUUUCAUUUAAAGGACAAAGGGUUUCACUGGAACUAAUUUAACUGACUUAAUUUGUGAUAUUCACAUACUAGUUUAGAUCCUAAGCCAGGAGAGGACUUUUAAAGAAAAAAACAUUAACAUGUCAUUAAAAAAACAUAAUAUGUUCACUGAUGGAUGUUUUGACAGUGGCCACAGCUGCCUCUGGCUGGGGACCUCUGACAUGGUUCAUUUUUGCCCCUGUUGUUAACGAAUUGUGUGACCCAGUAUGAACAUCUUCACCUCAUUCUGAUGCACUCUCUAUUCCCUUUAUCAUCUUUCUCAGAGCAGUAUACUGAGAAUUAAUGAGUUAAUCACCAUAAAGUACAUAAAAAGACCUUCUAAGAGAGUAUGUUAGGAAUGUUAUGUUAUAGAAACAACCACUUUUAUCUCAAAGUAAAAAAAAAAUACCACUGUUCUAAUGGUUAUCACAUACAUUCUAAAUGUGUAACUAUAUCGGCUUGGUUUGUAAUCGGUCUGGGAUUAUACCGGAACUGACUGUAUAAUUUACUCAUGAAUCAACAAAACUGAAGUCAUCCAGCAUUUCCUCAAGAAUACUUUUGUCCUUUAACUGUUCAGAGUUUAGCAAUUCUCAGAAACUCCGAAGAUUAACUUCAUUUCUCUUUUACUGACACUUUCUAUUCAAUAAUUGCUCUUAAUUUCAUAAGGUUUUCUUUUGGGGGGAUUUCAGGGCAGGGUUUUUCUGUGGCUUUGGAGACUGUCCUGGAACUAGCUCUUGUAGACCAGGCUGGUCUGUAACUCAUAGAGAUCUGCCUGCCUCUGCCACCUGAGUGCUGGGAUUAAAGGCAUCCGCCACCACCACCCAGCAAAUUUCGUUUUUUUAAUUAAAUUUUUGUAAUUAUUGCCCCUCCUUUAAGCUUAUGUUUUUCUUUUCUUUUCUUUUUUUGUAUAUGAUGGAAUAUGUAACUGUUUUGUUUUCUUUCAUAGUACUAACAAGCAGAUCACUGGAACAUUCAAUAAAUUAUGCUUGUCAGUUAAAUACAAAUAAGAAGAGAGAUUAAAUUAACCAGUGUAUCCUUUCAGUUUUCCCACAGACCCCUAAUUCUCUCUUUAAAAACAAAAACAACUGUGCAUUGUAUCAGACAGAAAAACAAAUAGCCUUUGUCCUAUUGAUACUUAUAGAUUCGUAAUUAUUAUUUAGUUAAACUAUGUUGAUUCUUAGGACUAUAAGUUUUAAUAUUUUAAAUAAUUUCAGAUUUUGAAAUGAAUAUCUAUAGAUGAAAUGAACAAAUUGGUGAUGAGACCAAAGUCUGAAUUAAAAUUCACUUAUGUUUUAAGUUUCAUAUAUACCUCAUACACAAAUCUAUUUCUAAUAUUCUACAUGAAUUUUAUAUGAACAUUUCUACAUAUUAACUCUAACCCAUCACAUAAAAUCAAAUGUAUAUUUUCUACCUGUGCCUUAAUGUUUGCAUUAAAAUUUUUGAAAGUUUUAAGCAGUUUGGAUUUCAAAUUUUUAAAUUAUAUAUGCUCAACCUAUAGGUAUAAUGUUGAUAAAGUCAAUAGACAAAAAUGAAUUAUAAUUACAUUACCAGUUAAGGCUAUACUGAUGACUUUCAGCAUAGAUUUGUGGCCUUGAGAAUAAAGUAUAUACAUACAGCAGUAAAAGGAUCUUUUAAGAGGACACAGCUAGGUCUAGGACAAAAUAUGAAAAAAAGACAAUACUUUGGUUUUCAAAGUUGGAGAUAGCACCCUCUACCCAUCCAUGAAGGAAAUGCUUAGUACUGUAAGUAUCUGUAAAACAAACUGCCAACAAGCCUUUCAAAAGAAGAAUUUUUGUAUGUUGAACCAUCCCUGCUUUUUGGGGAUGAAACCUAUUUGAUCGUGUUGGAUGAUUUUUCUGAUGUGUUCUUGGAUUAGAUGUUCCAGUAUUUUGUUGAGUACUUUUGCAUCAAUGUUCGUGAGGGGUGUCUCAAGGCUAACAGUUUCAAGUGUAUGGUUUUCUCUUUCACAAAUCAUUUUUCUUCAAAUCUCAGCUUGUUUGAGCCCUUUGGAUGGCUGAGGGGCCAAGGUAAGUUCUUGCAGUCCUUGUGAGACAAGGCAUCUUUUGCCCUAUGAAUUUGGGUGCUUUGUUAUGGAACACACACUUGUCACAGCUUUGCUGUGAUUUAUUCUUCUUAACCUUGCAAAUGUAAUUUUUAUAAACAUGCUUUCCAUUUAUCUCAGUCAUUUUUGAAGAAGAGAUUGUGGACACCUCCCCACCCACUUCCUUUUUAUUUGUCAUCAUCCUUUUCGUCUUGUUUUAGAUUUUUUUGAAUUAAUUUAUUUUCUAUCCAUAUAAAGUGUGUCUGUUAGAUAUAUGUCUUGUAUACUGCAUAAACCUGAUUUAUGUUAUGCUGUUCAGUAUAACUACCUUUGUAGAGGUAGAUGUGGGUCAUUAAUAUUUCACCAUAACACAUGACCUGCCUUAGUUUAAUAUUUUGUGAAGUGAAUAUUGUUGUUGGCUUUGUAAAUCUCCCUCAAUUCCCCUGUCAGUUUGAGUUUGUAAAAAGGUUUUUAUUUGUGAACCAAUUACAUUAUAUAUUAACACGUUGAAAACUGUAAAUGAAAUUCACAUGUUCAAUACUGUUUUAUUUUAAUUGUUGGAUGCCUAACAAAAUGACUGAAACAUCUUCACUAAUUUUACUAUUUUUAGUAUGUACACCCAUAUUUGCAUCUUUCUCUGACAACCAUAAAAAAGUUGAAUGUACUUUUGUUUUGUUCUGUAUAUUCACUCUUGACAGUCUCCUAGUACAAGUUAGUUGUAUUAUUAUUUUAAAGUUUCAAGAUUUCCACUUACCUCCAACCCAUAAAUUCUAAUAGCUGUUUCAUACCACAUGUUUCCUCAUUUCCAGGUUGUGUAUUUUGAUUUAUGGCUAGAUAUUAUCAUCUAAUAGUUCUUUUCAAAAGGCCUCUGGGUUCCUUUGCUCUUGAAUUCUGCAGGUUGUGGAAUAUUUUCUCUAUGGUUUUCAGGCAUCUGUUACAAUUCAAAAGCCAUAAAAUUCUUGAAUCAAUCAAAACUUUUUUCUUUCUGUAUUCUAUAAACAUUUAUCAUUGCUUUUGAAAAAUUAAGGUGUGUGUGAACAUUUUCAGUUUGCGGCUCUUAUGGGUUAACAUUUUGGGUCACUUUCUCAUAGAAAUUUUACCCCUAGGACUACAAUUACAGUUACUUAACUAUAUAUGUAUCAUAUGAGAGCCCCCAACAAAAAAUAAACCUCAGAAGGUGAAUGAAUAUAUACAGACAUAACUUUGCUUAUACCAAAUGUGUGCUACAUCUUCAGAAAUCUCAUAUAAUAAAGGGAUGUUUCCAUAUAUAUUUUCUUUUAUCUAGAAACUUUCUUCUAUCACAAUUUUUACUGUUAUUUCUGUUCCAUUGGCACCUUAUACUUAUGAAUAUGCAAAUUUAUAAAUAGAAAAUAUAUGAAUAGACACUCACACACACUAUGAUCUUUGAUUCUUUCUCCUCCUUGGUCUUUCGGUCUUUUACUGUCUAUAUUAUAAGUUUUAUAUUCCACAUUUGAACUGCAUGAUACUGACUUCUUACAUUCCAUCUAUUCUGUUAUUUUAAGACUCACUUUUCAGACAUGAUUUGUGAAAUGGAUUUAUUGUUUGACUCCAUUUCUCUUCUGAGCUCUGUCAGUUUGUGUUUAGAAGUCUAGUAUGUUAUUGCUUCUUUCUGCUGUUGUGUGUAUUUUUAAAAUUUAUUUACUUAUUUUACAUCCUGACCAAAAUUUUCCUCUCCUUUGUGUCCUCCCAGCUUCCCCAUCUAUACCCUCAUCAUCAGAAAAUGGCAGAUCUCACAUUGACAUCAAUAAAACAAUAUGACAUAUACUGUAGAAGUAAGACUUGUAUUAAGGCUAGGCGAAGGGAUCCAGUAUGAGCACCAGGGACCCAAAAGCCAGAAAAAGAGUCAAAGACAGACCUGCACUGUUAGGAAUCCCACAAGAAGAUCAAGCAACAGAACUGUAUCAUAUAUGCAGAGGGCCUAGGUCAGUCGAUGCUGGUUUCUUGGUUGUUGGUUCAGACUCUGUGAGCUCCUAUAAGCCAUAUCAAUUGAUUUCGUGGUUUUUCUUGUGAUGUUCUGACCUCUCUGACUUCUAAAGUCCUUCCUCCUCUCUUCUACAGGAUUCACCAAACUCCACCUCGUGUUUGACUGUAGGUUUUUAGCUGUUUACAUCAGUUGCUGGAUGAAGUCUCUCUGAUGGUAACUGAGCCAGGCAAUAAUCUGAGUACAUCAGAAUAUCCUUAGGCAUCAUUACUCUGACAUUUUUCUCUCUAGUCCUGUUUAGUCCUACCCUAGGUUUCUACAUCACCCCAAAAUUCAGCCCCUUUCCAGUUGUCUCUUUCAGCACUCUUCCCCUCCAUCACCCCACCUGAUCCCUCAUGAUCACAUUCCCACCCACCCUCACUCCACCCAUGAAAUCUCUUCCAUUUCCCUAGUCAAAUGACCCCCUGGGGUCCUUCUUGUUACCUAGUCUCUCUGGGUCUGUGCAUUUUAUCAUGGUUUUCCUUUACUUUACAGCUAAUAUUCAUACAUAAGUAAGUACUUUAUGGGUUUGGGUUACCUCACUCAGGAUUGAAUUUUUCUAAUUCCAUUUAUUUGCCCUUCAUGUUUCAUGAUGUCAUUAUUCUUAACAGCUGAGUAAUACUCCAUUAUGAAAAUGUAAAACCUUCUUUUUAUCCACUUUUCAGUUGAGGGGUAUCUCAGUUAUUUCUAGAUUCUGGUUAUUGUGACUAAAGUUGUUGGAACAUUGUUUAAGCAUCCUUCAGGUGCUCAUACCCAAGAGUGGCAUAGCUGAAUCUUAGGGUAUAUUGAUUCCCAGUUUCCUCAGAAACCACCAUAUUGAUUUCCAAAGUGGCUGUACAUAAAAGUGUAAUGUGAGAUUUUUGUCUUCCAGGUCCUGCUGCCUUUGAGCCCACAAAUGAACACACAGAGACUUAUAUUAAUUAUUAAAUUGUUGGUGGGUGGCUUGGGCUUCUUAUUGUCUAGCUCUGCCUUAAUUAUUAACCCAUUUCUAUCAAGGUAUGUAUUGCCAUGAGGCUGUAGGUUACCCGAUAAUACCCAGCAUGGUGCUACUCCUCUGGCAGCAUAAUCACUCUGUGUGGGGCUCACUUUGCCUUCCUUUCCCAGAAUUCUCCUUGUCUCCUAGACCUGCCUAUCUUCCUGCCUCAUUGGCCGAACAGUGUUU